UACAGAGGAGCCAAGCGUUGUCCGGAUUGACUGGGCGUAAAGCGCACGCAGGCGGUUGCGCGCGUGGGGUGUGAAAUCUGGCCGCUUAACGGCCAGGCGCCAUCCCAUACGGCGCGACUGGAGGGCUGCAGAGGUCGAUGGAAUUGCCGGUGUAGUGGUGAAAUGCGUAGAUAUCGGGAGGAACACCAGUGGCGAAGGCGACUUCCUGGCCUGUUCUUGACGCUGAGGCGCGAAAGCUAGGGGAGCAAACGGG
rnacentral:rRNA from 1 species